rnacentral:rRNA from 1 species
UACGUAGGGGCAAGCGUUGUCCGGAUUUAUUGGGCGUAAAGAGCGUGUAGGCGGUUAGGUAGGUCCGUUGUGAAAACUCGAGGCUCAACCUCGAGACGCCGGUGGAAACCGUAAAGCUAGAGUCCGGAAGAGGAGAGUGGAAUUCCUGGUGUAGCGGUGAAUGCGCAGAUAUCAGGAAGAACACCCGUGGCGAAGGCGGCUCUCUGGGACGGUACUGACGCUGAGACGCGAAAGCGUGGGGAGCGAACAGG